CUUGUGUUGCCGAGGGCAGCCACCAGGAGAAGUGCAGGCAUGACAGCGGCAAACUGCAGAUGAGGCCGCCACAGCUCAGAAAACCUCCAGGCAGCGUUUGCUGGGAGCCGAAGUCAGAACCAGUCACUGAGGCUUGGGGGCUGAGCUGGAGUCUCGGUUCUCCACGGACGCGGGCUGCCCCCAACCCAGGGUGUGGCCGGAAAGGCAGCUGGGAGUGACGCAUCACGGCCAGGGGAGCAUCUGACCACAGCUUUCAGAUGUGAGACGUGAGUGCCCCGAAGAAGCCCUGUGCCCUCCCCAGACGGCUGUCCCCACACACGGAAGCGUCUGAGAGCUCCGGCUGCCUCAUCCUGAGGGCCUGUAAGGUGGCCGCCACCCCCCGCCCCCACGCGACC
rnacentral:lncRNA from 1 species